rfam:Paenibacillus sp. 1DrF-4 C1315, whole genome shotgun sequence.
CUCUGGAUUCGAAUGUGAUCCAGGGCGGAAAGAG